CCUUCUUCUCGCCCAAAAAGUUCCUAAUCUCGAUGUUAUCCUUGCUGGAGGCGAUGCUGGCGUUGAUGGGGAAAUGGGCGUACACGAACCUCAUCUUGUAGCGGUAGCCCUUGGUAACACCGGUGAUCAAGUUGUUGAUGUGGCUAAUAGCAGUACGGAUGGCAGCCAUGGUCUUGCGGGUGCCGAACCAGGCGUCGAUCUUGAGCUUGCGGCCGCCUUCCUGCAGCUGGAGAUCGAGAUUGAGGUGCUUGAAGUCACGGGUGAGCACACCGCGAGGGCCCGAAACCCUAAUCUUCUUAGCCUUGAUUUCGACCUUGAUCCCCUCAGGGAGGUCCAUAGUUUCUGAUGCGAGAAUGGUCUUCAUAGCUGCUGCUGUGCUUACCGAGAAGGCAAACGAGGCCGGGUUGCGACCAAAAGAGGAGGAGGAAACAGGGAAGAGGGGGAAGAGAAAGAGGACGCGGCCGCAGAAGGGCUCGCAGGCG
rnacentral:lncRNA from 1 species